rnacentral:rRNA from 1 species
CCCCGCUUCCAGGAAAAGCCUCUAAGCUUCAGGUUACCAACAAUCGUACCCCAAACCGACACAGGUGGUCAGGUAGAGAAUACUCAGGCGCUUGAGAGAACUCGGGUGAAGGAACUAGGCAAAAUGGUGCCGUAACUUCGGGAGAAGGCACGCUGGCGGUAGGUAAAGUCCCUUGCGGACGGCGCUGAAGCCAGUCGAAGAUACCAGCUGGCUGCAACUGUUUAUUAAAAACACAGCACUGUGCAAACACGAAAGUGGACGUAUACGGUGUGACGCCUGCCCGGUGCUGGA